rnacentral:rRNA from 1 species
AUUGAACGCUGGCGGCAGGCCUAACACAUGCAAGUCGAGCGGAUGAAGGGAGCUUGCUCCUGGAUUCAGCGGCGGACGGGUGAGUAAUGCCUAGGAAUCUGCCUGGUAGUGGGGGAUAACGUCCGGAAACGGGCGCUAAUACCGCAUACGUCCUGAGGGAGAAAGUGGGGGAUCUUCGGACCUCACGCUAUCAGAUGAGCCUAGGUCGGAUUAGCUAGUUGGUGGGGUAAAGGCCUACCAAGGCGACGAUCCGUAACUGGUCUGAGAGGAUGAUCAGUCACACUGGAACUGGGACACGGUCCAGACUCCUACGGGAGGCAGCAGUGGGGAAUAUUGGACAUGGGGCGAAAGCCUGAGCCAGCCAUGCCGCGUGUGUGAAGAAGGUCUUCGGAUUGUAAAGCACUUUAAGUUGGGAGGAAGGGCAGUAAGUUAAUACCUUGCUGUUUUGACGUUACCAACAGAAUAAGCACCGGCUAACUUCGUG